ACCUACGGGAGGCAGCAGUGAGGAAUAUUGGUCAAUGGUCGGGAGACUGAACCAGCCAAGCCGCGUGAGGGAGGAAAGUACAGAGUAUCGUAAACCUCUUUUGUCAGGGAACAAAGGCGGGGACGUGUCCCCGGGUGAGUGUACCUGAAGAAAAAGCAUCGGCUAACUCCGUGCCAGCAGCCGCGGUAAUACGGAGGAUGCGAGCGUUAUCCGGAUUUAUUGGGUUUAAAGGGUGCGCAGGCGGUCUGUUAAGUCAGCGGUCAAAGCCCGGGGCUCAACCCCGGCCCGCCGUUGAAACUGGCAGG
rnacentral:rRNA from 1 species